AAUUAUUGGGCGUAAAGAGCUUGUAGGCGGUUUGUCGCGUCUGCCGUGAAAUUUCGGGGCUCAACCCCGAACUUGCGGUGGGUACGGGCAGACUAGAGUGUGGUAGGGGAGACUGGAAUUCCUGGUGUAGCGGUGAAAUGCGCAGAUAUCAGGAGGAACACCGAUGGCGAAGGCAGGUCUCUGGGCCACUACUGACGCUGAGAAGCGAAAGCAUGGGGAGCGAACAGGAUUAGAUACCCUGGUAGUCCAUGCCGUAAACGUUGGGAACUAGGUGUGGGUCUCAUUCCACGAGAUCCGUGCCGCAGCUAACGCAUUAAGUUCCCCGCCUGGGGAGUACGGCCGCAAGGCUAAAACUCAAAGGAAUUGACGGGGGCCCGCACAAGCGGCGGAGCAUGCGGAUUAAUUCGAUGCAACGCGAAGAACCUUACCAAGGCUUGACAUAUACCGGAAACACCCAGAGAUGGGUGCCCCGCAAGGUCGGUAUACAGGUGGUGCAUGGUUGUCGUCAGCUCGUGUCGUGAGAUGUUGGGUUAAGUCCCGCAACGAGCGCAACCCUCGUUCUAUGUUGCCAGCACGUCAAGGUGGGGACUCAUAGGAGACUGCCGGGGUCAACUCGGAGGAAGGUGGGGAUGACGUCAAAUCAUCAUGCCCCUUAUGUCUUGGGCUUCACGCAUGCUACAAUGGCCGGUACAAAGGGCUGCGAAACCGCGAGGUGGAGCGAAUCCCNAAAAAACCGGUCUCAGUUCGGAUUGNGGGUCUGCAACUCGACCCCAUGAAGUCGGAGUCGCUAGUAAUCGCAGAUCAGCAACGCUGCGGUGAAUACGUUCCCGGGCCUUGUACACACCGCCCGNCAAGUCACGAAAGUCGGUAACACCCGAAGCCGGUGGCCCA
rnacentral:rRNA from 1 species